GGACCCGCACAAGCGGUGGAGCAUGUGGUUUAAUUCGAUGCAACGCGAAGAACCUUACCUGGUCUUGACAUCCUGGGAACCCUGAAGAGAUUCGGGGGUGCCGCAAGGAACCCAGAGACAGGUGCUGCAUGGCUGUCGUCAGCUCGUGUCGUGAGAUGUUGGGUUAAGUCCCGCAACGAGCGCAACCCUUGUCCUUAGUUGCCAGCAUUAAGUUGGGCACUCUAAGGAGACCGCCGGUGACAAACCGGAGGAAGGUGGGGAUGACGUCAAGUCAUCAUGGCCUUUAUGACCAGGGCUACACACGUGCUACAAUGGUAGAUACAGAGGGAAGCCAACCGGCGACGGGGAGCCAAUCCCAGAAAAUCUAUCGUAGUCCGGAUCGGAGUCUGCAACUCGACUCCGUGAAGUCGGAAUCGCUAGUAAUCGCAGAUCAGCAUUGCUGCGGUGAAUACGUUCCCGGGUCUU
rnacentral:rRNA from 1 species